AACGCAUAUUGCGCCCCUUGGUAUUCCGGGGGGCACACCUGUUCGAGCGCCAUUUCGACCCUCAAGCUUUAUUGCUUGGUGUUGGGUAAGGUCCCUUAUAGGGACUAGCCCGUAACUUGUAGGCGGCCAUGGUCCAGUCCCCCAGCGUAGCAGGCUCACGCACUCGCUCGGGGACUGUUCGCGUGGCCAGCCCAAAAUUAUUUAAAAGGUUUGGCCUCGGAUCAGGUGGGGAUACCCGCUGAACUUAA
rnacentral:misc_RNA from 1 species